rfam:Ornithorhynchus anatinus chromosome 7, whole genome shotgun sequence.
GCUUUUUCAGGGUCCUAUCUGGAGAGUUUCCAGUACUCUACCCGUCUUGGCUACGGGAGGAAGAGUCAAGCAGAGGCCUACCCAUUUCAUUCCUAGCUUGGGCAGUGGCUAGCGAGUGGAAGGGAAUCUGCUACAAGU